rnacentral:rRNA from 1 species
UACGAAGGGUGCAAGCGUUACUCGGAAUUACUGGGCGUAAAGCGUGCGUAGGUGGUGCGUUAAGUCUGUCGUGAAAGCCCCGGGCUCAACCUGGGAAUGGCGAUGGAUACUGGCGCGCUAGAGUGCGGUAGAGGAGAGUGGAAUUCCCGGUGUAGCAGUGAAAUGCGUAGAGAUCGGGAAGAACACCCGUGGCGAAGGCGGCUCUCUGGGACGGUACUGACGCUGAGACGCGAAAGCGUGGGGAGCGAACAGG